AACAUGGUCAUAAAAAAUAUUAAAAGAAACAAAACGCUAAAAGACAAUAAAACACUAAAAAAAAUAAAAUGCUGAAAGAAAAGAAAGUGAAAUACUAAAAGAAAAAGAAAUACUAAAAAGAAAAUGCUACAUACAAGUAUCGAACCCACUACUCUUGAGACUAUGAAAACCACCCUCUCCACCAGGCCACUUACCAACU
rnacentral:lncRNA from 1 species